UUCGAUCCUGGCUCAGAUUGAACGCUGGCGGGAUGCUUUACACAUGCAAGUCGAACGGCAGCACGGACUUCAGUCUGUACGGUGGCGAGUGGCGAACGGGUGAGUAAUGUAUCGGAACGUGCUAAUGGCGGGGAUAACUACGCGAAAGCGUAGCUAAUACCGCAUACGCCCUUCGGGGGAAAGCGGGGGACCUUCGGGCCUCGCACUAUGGAAACGGCCGAUAUCGGAUUAGCUAGUUGGUGGGAGUAACGGCUCACCAAGGCGACGAUCCGUAGCUGGUUUGAAGGACGACCAGCCACUGGGACUGAGACACGGCCCAGACUCCUACCAGGAGCAGCAGUGGGGAAUUUUGGACAAUGGGGGAAACCUGAUCCAGCCAUCCCGCGUGUGCGAUGAAGGCCUUCGGGUUGUAAAGCACUUUUGGCAGAAAGAAACGGCACAGGAUAAUACCCCGUGCAACUGACGGUACCUGCAGAAUAAGCACCGGCUAACUACGUGCCAGCAGCCGCGGUAAUACGUAGGGUGCAAGCGUUAAUCAGGUUACUGGGCGUAAAGCGUGCGCAGGCGGUUCCGGAAGAAAAUUGUGAAAUCCAGAGCUUAACUUUGGAACUGCAUUUUUAACUACCGAGCUUUAAAGUGUGUCAGAGGAGGUGGAAUUCCGCGUGUAGCAGUGAAAUGCGUAGAUAUGCGGAGGAACACCGAUGGCGAAGGCAGCCUCCUGGGAUAACACUGACGCUCAUGCGAAAAGCGUGGGGAGCAAACAGGAUUAGAUACCCCUCGGUAGUCCACGCCCUAAACGAUGUCAACUAGCUGUUGGGGCCUUCGGGCCUUGGUAGCGCAACUAACGCGUGAAGUUGACCGCCUGGGGAGUACGGUCGCAAGAUUAAAACUCAAAGGAAUUGACGGGGACCCGCACAAGCGGUGGAUGAUGUGGAUUAAUUCGAUGCAACGCGAAAAACCUUACCUACCCUUGACAUGUCUGGAAUCCCGAAGAGAUUUGGGAGUGCUCGCAAGAGAACCGGAACACAGGUGCUGCAUGGCUGUCGUCAGCUCGUGUCGUGAGAUGUUGGGUUAAGUCCCGCAACGAGCGCAACCCUUGUCAUUAGUUGCUACGAAGGGCACUCUAAUGAGACUGCCGGUGACAAACCGGAGGAAGGUGGAAUGACGUCAAGUCCUCAUGGCCCAUAUGGGUAGGGCUUCACGUCAUACAAUGGUCGGGACAGAGGUCGCCAACCCGCGAGGGCCAAUCCCAGAAACCCGAUCGUAGUCGGAUCGCAGUCUGCAACUCGACUGCGUGAAGUCCGGAAUCGCUAGUAAUCG
rnacentral:rRNA from 1 species